rnacentral:tRNA from 1 species
GCCUUCGUGAUGGAACGGUAGACAUUUCGGUUUUAGGAACCGAUGCUGAAAGGCGUGUCGGUUCGAAUCCGACUGGAGGCA